rnacentral:rRNA from 1 species
AGUGAACGCUGGCGGCAGGCCUAACACAUGCAAGUCGAGCGGCAGCGGGUCCUUCGGGAUGCCGGCGAGCGGCGGACGGGUGAGGAAUACAUCGGAAUCUGCCCUGUCGUGGUGGAUAACCUAGGGAAACUUAGGCUAAUACCGCAUACGACCUACGGGUGAAAGCGGGGGAUCGCAAGACCUCGCGCGACAGGAUGAUCCGAUGUCCGAUUAGCUAGUUUGCGGGGUAAAGGCCCACCAAGGCGACGAUCGGUAGCUGGUCUGAGAGGAUGAUCAGCCACACUGGGACUGAGACACGGCCCAGACUCCUACGGGAGGCAGCAGUGGGGAAUAUUGGACAAUGGGCGCAAGCCUGAUCCAGCCAUGCCGCGUGGGUGAAGAAGGCCUUCGGGUUGUAAAGCCCUUUUGUCCGGGAAGAAAUCGUCUGGGCUAAUACCCCGGGCGGAUGACGGUACCGGAAGAAUAAGCACCGGCUAACUUCGUG